rnacentral:snRNA from 1 species
AUUUUUCCGGAUAUUCGCUUCGU